GAUGAACGCUGGCGGCGUGCCUAAUACAUGCAAGUCGAGCGAACGGACGAGAAGCUUGCUUUUCUGAUGUUAGCGGCGGACGGGUGAGUAACACGUGGAUAGCCUACCUAUAAGACUGGGAUAACUUCGGGAAACCGGAGCUAAUACCGGAUAAUAUUUUGAACCGCAUGGUUCAAAAGUGAAAGACGGUCUUGCUGUCACUUAUAGAUGGAUCCGCGCUGCAUUAGCUAGUUGGUAAGGUAACGGCUUACCAUGGCAACGAUGCAUAGCCGACCUGAGAGGGUGAUCGGCGACACUGGGGCUGAGACACGGUCCAGACUCCUACGGGAGGCAGCAGUAGGGACUCUUGCGCGAUGGGCGGAAGCCUGACGGAGCAACGCCGCGUGGGUGAUGAAGGUCUUCGGAUCGUAAAACUCUGUUAUUAGGGAAGACCAUAUGUGUAAGUAACUGUGCACAUCUUGACGGUACCUAAUCAGAAAGCCACGGCUAACUACGUG
rnacentral:rRNA from 1 species